rnacentral:ncRNA from 1 species
UAUUAGUAAUACCUUCGAGUUUUUCUGCCUAAAGAAAAUAGCUUUCUAAGGUGGCUAAACCGAUGGGUUGAGAAAGAAAUGACUCAGCCUCCCGUGCUUGGAAAGAAGAGUAAUCUUAAGGAGG